AUCCCCUGUAUGCAAAUAAGAGAAAAGAAGCAGGGACAUAUAAGUUUCUGGGAAUGGUUUGGGAAAUUAGUCUUUAUUUCAUAUGAUAUGAAAAGUCUUUAGAAUCAUCUUAUACAGAAGUCCAAAAAUAUUUGUUUGCACAUGAGCAUGGCAUAACCAGUAACCAACCAAAUCAUUGGUUCUUGCAUGAAAAGCUAGCUAUCUCCUUCGCCUUGGUGUGACCUCCAGGUCUCAGUGGUCAAUCAAGAACUCUGAAUAAUGCUGUAAAGUACAAGGGAUAUUCUUUAAUUUUUCAAACCUAAAUAUCCUUUUCCAGGCCUCAAUGCAGGUGAACAAAUUACAAGGAAGAAAGAGAGAGUGUAGACCCUCCAUCAGAGCAAGUAGAAACGGAAAUUGUUCAAACCCGUAAAGAGAUGGAGUUAGCGUGCCAUGGUCACAUACCCUACUUGGAUGAUCACCUCAUAAAUAUAAUUCUCUGCAGAUUUCAUGAGGUAGUUCAUGUGCUUGAUAUAAAACCUUCUUUUUUGAAAAUUGGCAAUGCUUAUUAAAUGCUAGAUAUGUGCUGAUGUAAUUCAUCUUUGUCACUUAGGAUGCUAUCGUACAUGUUGUUCCAGUAUAUCACAGGAAAAAAGGAUAUAUGCCAGUUCAAGCUCAUAUGUUCUACUAAUAACAUAGUUAUACAAGCUUAUAUGUACUACUAAUAAUAUAGUUAUAUGGUGUUUAGUAGCAGCUCAAUACAUACACCGAUGAGAUAUUCAUAUGUGUGUAUUACUACUUUGUUCAUUUCUGGUCGGUUAGCCAAGAGGAUUCAUGAUUCUUAUCUUUCUCAGUACUAUGUUGAACUUGAGAAAUUGGUGGAAUGUGUAUCAUGAACUGUUGAGGUUCUUUAAUCCAACCGCUGUGUGACAGAAGAAUACACAGAAUUCUUCGAACCCAACCCUAACCGCAAGGUUAGAUGCUAAGUUGUUCAUUGUUUGAUUUGGUUUAUUAAUAGAAUAAACCAUUGUGUUAUCUUCUGUUAUUUGUUCCCCUGUAGAUCUUCUCUCAGAAUUUUUUCAUUCACUAAUGACUCAAGCGGCUCUAGAAAGGUAAUUAGUUCCUUAUUCUUCAAAUAUCAUGUAGUGUAAGCGAAAUAAAUACCUUUGAUUUAAGAGACCUUUGAAUUUCCAAAGUGGAAACCCUAAAACUUAAUUGAGGAGUGAUUUUUUUGUAGUACAUUGCUACAAGCUGCAAAUGCAUGCUAUUAUUAGUUUCUCGGCUCAAUCAUGUUAGAAGUUGCUGCCGGAAAAUUAAAAUGCCACUAAUAUUUUUGUAUGUAAUUCCCAUCUUUUGGUGAUAGAAUGCUUAGUAGGCAGCCUUUUUAGUAUUUGUGAUAGCAUAGCCUUUUAUAUAUAUUUUCCUAACAGUGGGAUUUUAGAGAGCAUUUUUGUACAAGGAUAAACUGAUAUCUAAGCCAAUCCAUGUGUUUAGAGGCCAAUCAAACUGCUCUUGACUAUCAUUUUCAGUUCUCUUUAAUUUGUAUUUUUUUUUUCCGACAUACAAGUUCUAUUCAGAAAUUACCUUAUGUUCUUGGUCAUGUGUGCUAAUAUUUAUGUUUGAAUAUAAGGAAGUAUGGUAUUUUUAACAUGGUUUGUUAGCCUCCUUGAUACUACUCAGUACUGACCAGGCUAAUCCUGGGGUUAACUUUUCAGUGGAGUUUACAUGUAACAACUGUCUAUGUUCGAAGAAAUUGCGGUAAACUUAAACGGUCUGAUGUCCAAGAAAGUGCAUUUUUUUCUUGCAACAUAAUUACCUACCAUUGACAGCAUGCUAACUGAAUAAUGCAGUUUGUGCCAAUUUAAGCUUCCAUAGUUCCAUUAGUCCAUUAUAUAUUAUUUUCUGGGGACUUUGGUUUGUUCACCCAGGUAGACUGCAUUAGCUAUCUACAUAAAAGCUCAGGAUUUUUUCCUAACUUUUCAGUUUUGAAAAAUAUGUUUCCAUGUGUUCUUAAAAUUCACAGAAUAGUGGAACUUCAUAAUUGCGGGUUCACAAUUCUAUGCUAUAUAUUUCAUGGACCUGAUAUAGCAGUGCUGUUUGCUAGCAUUGAAAUAGAAGACCGUUUGCUAGCAUUGAAAUAGUAAAAUUCUCCAAUUCAUUCUUUCAAAAUAGUGGAACCUGAUAUAGCAGUGCUGCCUACUAAGCUAAAUCGAUGCACAUUAUGGACCUGCAUUAUAUAGCAUGCAAUGACCAUUAACAUAAGCCAGGGUCAAACUCUUAGCAAGGUCAGCGUUUACUUGCCAAAGCCGGCUUUCUCGCACGGUCCAUAUGACUUCAAGAUUUGUGGGGUUGUUUUGUCAUGAGAUUGGCUCUUUGUUCCCUUCAGAGGGAGAUCCUGUUCCUAAAUUCACCCAGCUAUAUAUUUAUGACACCCAAAAUGAGUUAGAUCACAGGAUGGGCAUAUUUGGCGAGGAUGAUGAGAGUGCUAGCAACAGCCAUUCUGCAGCAGCUGCUCAGUCCUCAUCUGCUAUUGUUGGUCGGCGACGUGCUGUCAUUCAUAUGGUCAUUUCUCUUGCUGUGCUCCCUCUCGCUGUACUAUUAUUCAUAUGCUGAUUUCUCUUUUUGUAUUAUAUUUGCCUAUUUCUCUUACAAUCCAUGUUUAGAUCUCAUCAUAUAUGGUACUAAUUGCAGGUUUAUCAGCAUACGGAGCAACUUAGUGCAGAGACACUAAAGCUAAUGGAAAGGGCUUCUGAAUUUACGUGUUGCGGGCAACAACCUGAAAUCUGAAGUCAUGUACUCCCUUAAGCAGCAUCACAAAGGCAUAUGGCCAGAGUUCAAUUUCUUUAGCAGCUGCCUUUACCCACUGUCUAUUCUAUGCUAAUAUUUUAAUGCGUGUCUUGCAUAAGUAGAUGUGUAAAAAGUUAGCAGAAAUCUAAAUGAUGCACGUUAUGGACCUGAACUAAACCAAACCGUCUUCUGUUGUUAUUGUCUCUUUCUGACAGAGCAAUGUACAAGUUUCCAGGUGUUGUGGGCUUCGUUUACCUUUCUCCUCAUAGAAAUUCCUACUCAGGUGCUACAAAUCAGCGUCCACUGCUUGCGUUGUCCCACUCUUCCCUCCUCUCUGCGCGCUCCCGUUGGCGAUACGGCGUGCUGUGCGAAUAAGCUUGGGACGGAGCUUCUACCACCAUCGGCCCCGACCACGCAGGACAUCCGCGCUCGCGGCGAUUGGCCUUCGCGCUUGCAACCUGGACGGGAAGCCAGCUGCAGAGGUCGUGGUUCACGUCCCGUGCAGCGUGCUUUCCGCCGCCGUCCCUAUCACCUCCGCCCCAUCCAUUAGCUACCACACCGCGAGGAGAAUCUAAGAUAGAUGCUGCUGGCCGAAUCGACUAUCUUCAUCAGGGCCAGUACAAUUGUGGCCCAUGUAAAGAGGCUUAGCAUAGCCCACCAGAUAAACAAAGGCUCGGCCGGUCACUUACGGGCUGUACCUGCUAGCGUCGGACAUCUGAAAAAUAAUUCGUCGCUACCUUCUUUUUCUUUUUUUCUUCCUCCUAAAAUUGCCAACUGAAUUCACGACAUACAAAUGUUUUACCCCUGAACCUGCGAGCACGCUAUGUGAUAAUAUUAUGUAUGAACUAUAAUUUUCAGCAGAAGAAUUUUCAGUAGGUUAUCUCAACGGCAUGGACCUAAGUUGUAAGCCACUCUUAUCGUCAUGGACUCCAGUAGAUUUCAAAUUGGUACAAUACGGUGC